rnacentral:lncRNA from 1 species
UUUUUUUUUUUUUUUUUUUUUUUUUUUUGCUUUUUUGCGCUGCACUUACAGCAUAUGGAGGUUCCUAAGCUACUGGCCUAUAGAACAGUUCCAGGCAAUGCUGGAUCCUUAACCCAUUGAAUGAGGCCGGAGAUCAAACCUGCAACCUCAUGGUUUCUAGUUGGAUUCGUUUCCGCUGUACUAUGACGGGAACCCGAGUUUGCAAGUUUCUUAUCCUCCGUAUUCUCUGUGUUUACUCUCCUAGACUCAAAAGAUGUGUGAUUGGUACCCAGGAGUGAUUCUGCAGUACCUAUGCUGUAGAAGUUCUUCUGGCAUCUGUCCAACCAUGCCCACUCCCAGACAAUUGGGAAUUUAUUUAGCUCUUCUCACUUUAUUUUCAAGUUUGCUAAACUUCCAAUUCUCUUUUAAGAUCAAGUGGUUGAGUCAUUGUUAUUUCAUUUGAGGGAACUAAAUUCAACACUAAGACAGGAUUUUAUUUUUGAACAAUUGUAAGUUGUUCAAAGGAGCAGGAGAAAUUGCUGAACUUUGGAAAGUUUCAGGACUAAGUUAACAUUCUUCUUGCCUUCCAAAUAUGGCUUUAUUUUAUCUUCUAAUUAUAAACAUGAAAUAAAUAGUUGAGAUAUAUUUGUAAGCAUUGAACAUUCUUAUGCUCUUAAUUCAGCAUCAUUCAUACAAUCAAGUUCACUUAUGGAUCCAUCUACCUAUCCACCAAUUUUUUAUGCUUAUUUUUUCUGAUUAGGUCUAUAUUAAAUAUGGAAAUCACAAAAUAGAGAAUAAUGUCUCAACUCUAAUGGAUUGAUGGAUUUUUUUUAAAAAAAUCUAGUUGGUUUUAAGAAAUGUAGGAGAAGUAGAAUAUUCUUGAGCUUGAUUACAUUAAAAUUACUAGCACCUAAAAUGUUAAAAAAAAAAAAGAAGAAGAAGUAGGUAAGGAAGUAGUUCUUCUGACAUAUUGUAGAGUUCUUUACAAGUGUUUUUAAUGCUCAGGGAAUGGGCAGAUGAAAUGAAUAAAUGAAACAUCAUCUGGGCACUCACUCUAAAUCCAGAAAGAGCAAAGGGAUCUGGGGAAAUUGUGUUUUCUAGAUUGGGAUAGGUUUUGCUGAGUUCAAGUCAUUUUUGCUUUCUCCCAGUCUCACUCAGGGAUUUUCAGGAUCAGUGAAUUAUUCUCUUUUACCUAGAAGUCAAUCACAAGGGAAGAAACAUGAAAAACUAUGUUUAUUUAGGGAGAAAAUAGCGAGCUCCUCCAGAUGAUCACAUGAACUCAUUUUUUUUUUUUUAAAGACCUAAUACCGUAAAGAAUUCUUUGCCCUCAGUUUAUAUUAAGCUUAGUGACAUUCAAUCUAGGAGACAGAGUGAAAGCUGGGAGUGUCUGAAUUGAAGAGGGUCCUGUGUAUUACUAGUGGAUUACAAUAAAUUCUACCUGAUUUUUUAAAUGUAAAAGCAAUCAAGGCAAUAGAAAUAUUUUGGCUAUGUUGUGUUGUGAAGAAAAAAAAAAAAACAGUGCUAAAAUUUAAUGGCUUAAAACAACAACUCUUUUAUCAUUUCUCAUGAUGACACAAGGAGUGGUAUUUUGUAGUGUCCAAAUGGAUUUUUCACUCACAUGCCUCAGAUGUAUAUGUGGUCCAGAAAGGCUUAACUGUUGAUCGUCUGUCUAGGACUUCCAUUUUCUCUUUCAUUUGGGUUUUUGCGUUCUCCUCCAGUGGUGUCAGGGUUUCUGCUUCUCUAUAUGCUCCCUCCACAUGGGUCUUGGAAUAUAGUAUCUCAAGCACAAUUGUCAUACUUCCUUCAUUGAAGCCUAGGCUUCCAUAAAUGCAAAAGCAGCAGCUCCCAGGCUUUCUUUAGGAGCAAGGACAGUAUCAUUGCCACAAUGGUCUAUUGGUUAAAGAGACUUUCAGGCUCAGCCUUGAUUUAAGGAGAGGGCACUGCACCAAGUCUAAGUACAAUAAGGUAUGACCCAUUGUGAUGCUCCAGUGGAACAGGUCACAAAGCACAAUUCUUAGUUCAUAUUGCCUGGAGUCACAAGUCUAACAUCAAGCUUGCAAAACCCUCAUUUGCCUCCUGUAACAUGUACAGAAGGCGAGAAAGGAAGAUUACCAUAUAACCAUUGAUGCUAAUUGCCUAGGGGUGGACUAAGUAUUUAAAAAGUACCCUGGAGAAGAAAGACUAUUUUAUUUGUCAUCUUGAACAUUAAUUGUUUUGAUGGGAAUCACUCUUUUCAGUACCAGAGAACAGAGUGAAUUUCACCAAACUGCCGUGAAUUACCCUCUAGAAUAGAAAUUAUUCCCCUCUGAAGGUAGAAAUAAUUUCUAUUUCAGGAAUGUGUGUGUUUCUGCAAAAUUCUUAUUCUUGGUGCUUAUUUCGCAUAAAACAUCAUAAAAUAAAAGAAGUAAAAGGCAUGCUUAUCCUAACCAAAUCUUAUAUAUUUUAGCUGAGGGCUGAAGACAAAUGCCCAAAGCAAUCUGUACAUCAGAAUACCACCAUUUACAUCUUUUGUUCUCCUGUUUUCUUAUGUAUUAUGCAAGGGCCUACCUAAAAAUGAAUUAAAGGGCAACUGUCAAGAUGAUAGUUUAAAAACAAUCCUUUUUGCAUUGUUUCAUAGAUGUUCAAUGUGUAAUUUUUUUAAAAAAAGACAUUUAAUCAUCUCCUUAUUCAAUUAAUUUACAUUAUCUCAUUGUAUGAUAUUUAAAAAAUGACAGGGCAAUUCAUACUAUUUUUAGAUUUUACUAUCUUUUGCUCUGGGACUAACUCAGUUUUGCAAAUUAGUAUUGGAAGAGAUAGCAAGAAACAUUGCAAAAGAAAAAAAAAACAAAAACCCGAGGAUCUUCAUGUUCAUUACAGAAUAAAUUGUUUUCUUAGUUUUAAAUCCUAUUUUAUUUAUUAUUUUAAUUUCUCAAAUGUGUCUAACCUCCCACAAAGUGGAUUUUUGGGUUUUUUUUUUCUAAUUAUUACCUACAUUUCUAUUUUUCUAUCACAAAAAAAUGGUAUGCACUCUCCAUACAUUUUUAUGCAGCUCUACGGCAUGCAUGAGAUGAAAUAUUUGAAUAGCAUCUGAUGUUGUGUGUGCUUUUCACCCCAGGAGAUUUCUUUAAAGAAAAAGCAGUAGCCAGGAUGUCUCAGUCUCUAUCAGUAUUCACAACGCUUUUCUUUUCAGCUUCAUGCUAAUCCUCAGGUAUAAGAAUUGGAGCCCCCAAACAUGUAUUCUUUGUUUACAUUUUACAGAAUGGUCAAGGAAGAGGAAAAGGAAAAAGAAGAGUGUAGAACUAAGAUUUUGUUAAUAUGAUUGCUUCCCUGGUAUGAAGAUAUUAGAUGUGAAACCAUAGCCAAAAUUAAUAUGAAAGUGCACAUGUGUGUUUGUAUGUAUGUAUGUGUGUGUGUGUGUAUAGCAUCCUCUUUGUUGAAUCAUAAUCAGUACCAUUCUCAGAAAUGCUCACAGGCAAGAAUGCCUAUUCUACUUUGAUACUUUAACAGGCUAAUUCUUUUGAAUUUGCAGCCUUGGAAUGCACGGGUCUUUGUCCAUGUGAUCACUUAUUAUUAAAGAGAACAUAUUUGAUUAUGUUUCUUUAUUAAUAGGGUGACUUUAUGACUUGCCUGAAAACCACAAGAUAAGUCAGAACCACCUUCCCCACCCCCCCGGACCCCCUCACCACAGUUUUUCUGAACUGCUUGGAAUAAUCUAAAGCCCUAUUCAGCUUGCAGCCAGAUGUGAACAAUCACUGCUUGACACGGGGUACAAAUAACACCUACUCCAGCCAUUACUCUUAAAUUGGAGCUGUGCCCUUGAUGGAGGUUGGAGAUUUCUCUGGCUUGUGUAACUUGCACGUGAAAGGCGGUAGGCACAGAGGGAGAAGGAGGCCAGAGUAUUUAGGUGGCAAGCUGUGGGCAGAUCUGGACUUGUCUCCCAAGAGAGUGGUCUCUUUUAAAGUGGAGUGAGGUCACAGGUCACACAGUUCAACCUGAAGGACCGAGUGGACUAAUGUGUUUGGCAGACCAGUUAAAACAAAACAAAGCAAAAAAUAAGAAGAGGAAGGGUCUGAGCUAACUUUGAAACCUAAAUGACCGUUUGUUCUCAUGCUUCAAAACGUUCAGGCAUCUUCCAACCAGCCAAGGCUAAAGCUGUUUAUGGUUCAAAGAUUUGAGAAAAUGGAGUCAUGACAUCUGACCUUGCAUUAGCCAGAAACACAGAUCUGAAUGAAAGAGUCUGGACAGGAGAGGUACUAGUUCCUUGGCCAGCUGCUCUGUGAGAUGCUCAUGGUCAUAUUUUACCAGGAUCCUGAGAUUAUGCUUCAAAAAUAAAACUAACAGCUCUUUUUAAUUCCAAGUACUAUUGACCUUUGUUUUUUUGUGUGCUCUCUCUCUAUUUUUUUAAGUUAGGCUGUAUUCUUUCUUUCCUCCUGGAUGUCUAGUAUUUGUUGUGAGGAAUAACAGCGUGUGCUAUCUGCAGAAAAGGCCCCUGCUGAGUUAAUGUUCAAGACCAAGGCAUUAGCGCUAUAAACAUCAGGGAAACAGGUAGCCUUCCUUAAUACUUUAUUCUUGAGUUAUUUCCUUUUUAUUUACAUUAGCAUUUUUCUUAAUUUUUUUUUUACAAAAGUGAGAUUAUCCUCUCUUUAAAAUCAUCUAACCACCUUAGAGGUAGAGGGAGGAACAUGAAAUGAUUGCAUCUAACAGGGUAAAAAUAAACACAGUCCACAAAUUGUGAUCAAUACUAGUGAAGUUCAUGGCUCAAUGAUUAGAAAAGCAAGAGAAGGAAGGCACAAUAUAUUCUUGAAAAGAGACUCAGGUUACUUAAGAAGGCAUAAAAUGCAUAUAAAAUCCCCCUUCCCUCAUUAAGAAUCAUUUAGCGGAGCAGCAGGAACUCUUAUGCAUUUUUGUUGGGAAUGCACAAUGGUACAGCUACUUUAGAGAAUAGUUUGGCUGUUUCUUACAAAGCUAAACAUACUCUUCCUAUACAGUUCAGCAAGCAGACUCCUUGAUAUUUACUUCAAGGAGUUGAAAUCUAAUAUCCACACAAAAACAUGCACACAGAUGCAUAUAGCAACUGUAUUCAAAAUUCCCAAAAACUUGGAGGAAACCAAGGUGUCCUUCAGUAAGUGAAUGGCUAAAUCAUGGCCCACUUAGACAAUGGAAUUUUAUUCAUUGCUAAAAAGAUAUGAGUUAUCAAACCAUGAAAAGACAUGAAGAAAUUUUAAAUGCAUUUUACUAAGUGAAAAAAGCCAAUCUGAAUAGGCUACCCACUCUAUGAUUCUAACUCUGAAAAAGUUGACAUUCUGGAAAAGGAAAAACUAUGGAGAUAAAUAAAAAGACUGGUGUUUGCCAGAGACAGUGAGUGGGGAGGAGUAAGAGAUGAAUUAGCAGAACAUGGAGGAUUUUUAGGGCAGAGGAAAUACUUUGUAUAAUAGUAUAAUGAUGGAUAUAUGUCAUCAUAAUUUGUCUAAACUCAUAGAAUGUAUAACAAGAAUGAACUGUGAUGCAAACUAUGGAUUUGGGGUAAUUAUGAGGUGUCAUUGUAAGUUAAUGAAUUGUGACGUUUUAUAACUAAGUUGGGUGAUGUUGAUUAUGGAUGUGGCUAUAUGGGUGGAGGCGGGUGUAUAGGAAAUCUCCGUACCUUUGCUUUUGUUACAAACCUAAUAUUGCUUUUAAAAAGUUACUUCAAAGUGAAAAGUGAGAAUUGAGGGAGGAAAAAAAAUGCUUUCAGGAAUUCCCGUUGUGGCUCAGUGAUAAUGAACCUGACUAGUUUCCUUGAGGGCACGGAUUUGAUCCCUGGUCCCACUCAGUAGGUUAAGGGUCUGGCAUUGCCCUGAGCUGCGGUGUAGGUCGAAGACUCAGCUUGGAUCUGGCAUUCCUAUGGUGUAGCCCGGCCGCUGUAGCUCUGAUUCGACCCCUAGCUGGGGAACUUCCAUAUGCCACAGGUGCGGCUCCAAAAAUACAAAAAAAGUUAACAAUAAAAAAAGCUUUCACAUCAUUACAUAGAAAAGAGAAAACUCUUAAUCUCCACUCUGGUUCCACUGAGUACUUGUUGCUGUGGUGCUGUCUGACUUGGUUAUUAGUGGUCCAAGUGAAGCGUUGGUAGGAAAAACUCACUGGCUUAAUUUAAGUUUCAGCCACUCUGGCUCUUAGAGCUAUGAAUAGACUCACUCUUAUUUGUUUGGCCUUUGGGGGAAAAAUCACCUCUUAAAAGUAUGCUUUGUAAGAAGGGUACUAGAUUUCUCUUGAAAAUAACAUUUUAUGUACUAAAACUUUUAAGAACGAAAAAGUUGCUGAACAUAGAGCAAGCAAUUAAAAAAACUGAUCAAAUACAAUGUUAAUACUGAGAAUUGCUGAUACAAAGAAAUGUCAGAAACACUGACAUUACUCCCUUAAUUCUGUUGAGUUAUAUUGUGUAUGUUAAGUUGCACAGAGCUUAAAUGAAGCCCAUAAUGAAUUUUUAUAUAUUGUGUAAACUUCUUUCAGCACCACACAUAAGAAGGUCUAGCACAUUUCUAGCGCGAUAGAAGGCAUUCACCUUGCAGUCAGUGCUUACCCCCAGGGGAGCCAUUAUUCUGUUUUACCCCUUUUUGAAUUUCAUAUAAAUGAAAGAGAUGACAUGUAGGUUUUUGCACCUGACUUCUUUUUACUCAGCAUUACAUCUGUGAGAUUCGUCUAUAUUAUUGUGCGUAUCACUAGUUCAUCCUUUUUUAUCCAUGUGUAGGUUUCUAUUGCAGUUAUAUACCACAAUUGACAUAUUUUACUGUUGCUGGAUAAUCUUUUCCAGAGGGUGGCUAUUAUCUGAAUACUAUUUUAUAUAUCCUUUGGAGGACAAAAGCAUUCACGUUGUGUGUAUGAAAGUGUAUAUAGAUUUACUAAGUGCUGCCAAAAGUUUUUCUAAAGUCACUGUGCCAAUUAACAGUCCCACCAGUUACAGAGGGUUUUCUUCUUCCUCAGUUCUUCAUAUUCUUAAUUUUAGCCAUUCUGCUGGCUGUUACUGAUAUCUCAUUGUCAUUUGCAUUUUUCCGAUGAAUAAUUAUGCCGAGAAUUUUUUCAUAUAUUUAUUAUCCUAAACUUUUUUUUAAUGUAAGAUUUGGGAGUUCAGCUUAAAAUUUACUCAGGAAGCCUGGGUAUAGAGUAAGUUUCCUGGUAGUGAAAAAACAAAGGUGAGAGAAAGAGAACCACUGUUUACUUAGUGCCUAUCAUGUUGUGAGAACUUUACAUGUGCUAUUUCAAUUAAUUCGUUUAACAGCCAUAUGUAGUAGAUAUUUUCUAAUGAAUGAUAAAGUUUGCAUGUCGAUGAAUAGAAUUUACUCAAUUUUCUAUCCUCUUCUCUUCCUAUACUCUAAUUUUCCUUCACUCCCACAUAUAUUAGAAGUUAACGUUUUUCCAGACUUCUGAAGAAUUAUGGUUAUUUCCCUGGCUUCUUAAUGAUGCUUCCUUAACCCAUUAACAGUCUAACAUCAUGUUGUGUAGCCUUCUGUAUGCCUUUGGUGUUUCAGUUUUUAUGAUAAAUCAUUACCUUUAUGAUUUAAGGCACAUAAAAGUUAUUUCCAUUCCAAAAAAAAAAAAAAAA